rnacentral:rRNA from 1 species
GAUGAACGCUGGCGGCGUGCCUAAUACAUGCAAGUAGAACGCUGAAGGAGGAGCUUGCUCUUCUGGAUGAGUUGCGAACGGGUGAGUAACGCGUAGGUAACCUGCCUGGUAGCGGGGGAUAACUAUUGGAAACGAUAGCUAAUACCGCAUGACAACAGUUAUUGCAUGAUAACUGUUUAAAAGGGGCAACUGCUCCACUACCAGAUGGACCUGCGUUGUAUUAGCUAGUUGGUGAGGUAACGGCUCACCAAGGCGACGAUACAUAGCCGACCUGAGAGGGGGAGCGGCCACCCUGGGACUGAGACACGGCCCAGACUGCUACGGGAGGCAGCAGUAGGGAAGCGUCGGCAAUGGACGGAAGUCUGACCGAGCAACGCCGCGUGAGUGAAGAAGGUUUUCGGAUCGGAAAGCUCGGUUGUAAGAGAAGAACGAGUGUGAGAGUGGAAAGUUCACACUGUGACGGUAUCUUACCAGAAAGGGACGGCUAACUACGUG